CUAAUUGAUGUGUUUACUGUUCUAAUUUACUUCUGUUCUCUAGUUUAGGUAUCACAAAGUGCCAGAUGUUUGUUGAAUUCUAUACCAGGCUGAUGCAUUCUGUUGGAAUAAAAUUAAUCAUCACUGGUAUCUUGCAUAUAUUUUUGUCAAUGCAGGCAUGAAUCAAAAUUAAAGAUAAUGGUAGCUAGUUUUUUGUUUGUUUGUUUUGGUAGCUUGGAAUCAAUAUUUAAUAAAGCCCUGCAGUCUUAAAGAUGCAAAUAUAUACUUUGGUACUCUGAAGUCGAGUGGGUAGGACAUGAAAUAUAUAAACCAUAAACCAUCUUUCAUAUCAGUUUGGACUUUUUCCAUAAUAUUUUUUGGGUAAUUUCCUAUAAUAAUAUUCUGAUUUGUUCUUUGAAACUUAUCUUUCAAGUUUUGCGUGUGUUCAAUAUUAGGCAUUUUUGAAUACAGAAUUAAAAUAACGACCAAAAUGUGGACAAGAGGAGGCUAAUGAACUUGUUAUCUUGUGGAAUUUCUGAAAUCCUAAAAUUGUGACAACACAGAAUGUUCCAGGACCUCACACAUACCCAUAAGAUAUAUCUUCUGGGCUAUGUUCCUCAUGUGGUUUGUGUAUGCUUCCAGCUCAGGGAGAUGUCAAGCUUGCUUUUCCUUUGACCUUGCAUGAUUCACUUGGAAGUUUUCUGGUUGCACUUAUCCUCUAAUUUUUUUUUUUUGUCUCUACGUUUUUAUUUGUCUUCUGUACAAUUCACAUAACAUCUCUUUAUUUUCCUCUCUGCAGUCCUAAAGUGGCCUCCCUCUCUCUCUCUCUCAGUUCUGAUGUUGAUGUUAAUAAUAUACUGCCCUAAACCUUGGAUUUCUAAUUUUCAACUUAGGUUAAUUUUCAUCUACAUUUUCCCUAAGGUGACCACAGUUUACUUUGUAAACCCUAGAAUGGUGAAUGGAAGUUUGGUGUGUGUGUCUUUUUAAUGAUUGGAGCUUGAUCUCUAUGUGACUUUCCAUUAGCUUGGUAUCAUGUGACCCCAGGGUUGGGCAGGAAAUUAGUUUCUGUCCAGAAUAGCAGGAUACACCCAGAAAUGAUUUUCUUAGCUCUGAAGGUUGUUUGCUGCAGAAGCACAAAUUGAAAUAGUGGCUUAGUGAUUGACUUAACUCAUUAGAUAACCUGCUGAUAAGAAUUGAUGUUUAGAAUUUGGAAGGAAGGAAGGUUAUUUUUGUUUGUUUUUCAGGGCUUGAUAUAAGUCCCAACUACAGAGAAAAGUAAGAAGGAAAAAUGUUACUUUCGUAUAGUAGUGAACAAUAUUGUAUCAUAAAUCAAAUUGGACAGGAUUAGUCAUUUGUCAGCUUGUGUCCUGAUACCCUAUCGUAUAAAUGUGUGUGUGUUUGGGGGGGGGCAUAUAUGUUUAGUGAGGCAGCCCCUAAUAUAAAAUUUAUUAGCUUUUACAGUGAUUUCUCCAUUAUUAAAGAAAAUUAUUGAGGAACCAGUGGAAACACAUUUUGGGUUUUAAUUUUUUUUGGCAAGCUCAGCUUUUUCAAGCUGUUUAUUUUUGCAGAUGUAUUUCUUCACUUCUUAAGAAUGAAGCGAGGAAUGUUUGCUGGCUUCCAGGUUAGUACCACCCAGAAAUUUUUUUAAAAUAUGUUUUCUUAAAAGACAUAUACAUAUACACACACAUAAUAUAUUUUGGUAGGGGAGAUAGAGAAUCUUCGUUUUUGUGAACUGGAAGGUUUGAAAAGUAUAUUUAAAUAAUGUAUUCUUAUUUUUUUUUGUCUUUUUAGGGCCGCACCCAUGGCAUAUGGAGGUUCCCAGGCUAGGGGUCUAGUCAGAGCUAUUGCCACAGGCCUAUGCCUACACCAUAGCCACAGCAAUGCCAUAUCUGAGUCGCAUUUGUGACCUACACCACAGCUUAUGGCAAUGCCAAAUCCUUAACCUACUGAGCGAGGCCAGGGAUUGAACCCGCAACCUCAUGUUCCUAGUAGGAUUCGUUUCUGCUGCGCCACAAUGGGAACUCCUAAAUAAUGUAUUUUUAAUAUUGCUUGUGAAUAUACUGCUUAUUUUCAUCCAUAUUGGCUUUUUGCCUUUUGGGGGGUACUCAUUAUUUCAUAGUUAAUGAUUUUUAUGGAAAGGAGAUAAAAGUUGAUCAUGUUUUUGUUUUCUCUGGAAAAUUGGAAUGUACUAUUUUUGUCAUUUUAGAAUCUUUUUUUUUUUUUUUAAUCCAGGGAGCCUCCUACAGAGAGUUGUCUCCAAGGAUAUUGAUACUUGUUAGUAGAUUGUUCCAUCAACAAUCUUGUUGUUGAUGGUUCCAUCAACAACAACGCUACACUAUAGAGUAUGUCUUGUAUGGUUAAAAUAACUAUAUUAAGACAUUUGUUUGAAUAAGACUGGAAUAAAAAAAGAAAAUGACCUUCAUUUGGCAGACAUUGAGCCACCCAGUUGUGACAGGCAUUAAUGCCAUCCUGUCUACAGAAGCUGACAGUUUAGCCAAAAAUGAAGCAAUUAUCUUUGGUAUAGUGACCGUUACAAAAAGGGUUCCUUUUGCUGAUGGUAUCCAUUUCUGGCCAUCUGCAGAUGGCCUGUCACUUUGAGCUUCGAAUUUGGAGAGCGAAGUAGAUACAAGAAUGCAGGGAAUGUUACUCUGAAAUAAAAAAGGAAAAUUUAAGCUGCCUAUUGAGAACCAUGGUACCAUACUCUUUUCU
rnacentral:lncRNA from 1 species